ACUGAGCGGCGGACGGGUGAGUAACGCGUGGGGAACCUGCCCUAUACAGGGGGAUAACAGUUAAAAAUGACUGCUAAUACCGCAUAAGCGCACGGAGCCGCAUGGCGCUGAGUGAAAAACGAUAGUGGUAUAGGAGGGACCCGCGUCUGAUUAGGUAGUUGGUGGGGUAACGGCCCACCAAGCCGACGAUCAGUAGCCGACCUGAGAGGGUGACCGGCCACAUUGGGACUGAGACACGGCCCAAACUCCUACGGGAGGCAGCAG
rnacentral:rRNA from 1 species